rnacentral:tRNA from 1 species
ACCGCGGUAGCUCAGCUGGGGGAGCAUCCGCCAGGUAUGCGGAGGGUCGCCGGUUCGAUUGCGGCCCGCAGCG